rnacentral:rRNA from 1 species
GUCAGCAGCCGCGGUAACACCGGCGGCCCGAGUGGUGAUCGUGAUUAUUGGGUCUAAAGGGUCCGUAGCCGGUUUGGUCAGUCCUCCGGGAAAUCUGAUAGCUCAACUAUUAGGCUUUCGGGGGAUACUGCCAGACUUGGAACCGGGAGAGGUAAGAGGUACUACAGGGGUAGGAGUGAAAUCUUGUAAUCCCUGUGGGACCACCUGUGGCGAAGGCGCUUACCAGAACGGGUUCGACGGUGAGGGACGAAAGCUGGGGGCACGAACCGGAUUAGAUACCCGGGUAGUCCCAGCCGUAAACGAUGCUCGCUAGGUGUCAGGCAUGGCGCGACCGUGUCUGGUGCCGCAGGGAAGCCGUGAAGCGAGCCACCUGGGAAGUACGGCCGCAAGGCUGAAACUUAAAGGAAUUGGCGGGGGAGCACAACAACGGGUGGAGCCCUGCGGUUUAAUUGGACUCAACGCCGGACAACUCACCGGGGGCGACAGCAAUAUGUAGGCCAAGCUGAAGACUUUGCCUGAAUCGCUGAGAAGAGGUGCAUGG